rnacentral:rRNA from 1 species
AUUGAACGCUGGCGGCAUGCUUUACACAUGCAAGUCGAACGGUAACAGGCCUUCGGGUGCUGACGAGUGGCGAACGGGUGAGUAAUGCAUCGGAACGUACCCAGAGUUGGGGGAUAACGCAGCGAAAGCUGUGCUAAUACCGCAUGUGAUCUGAGGAUGAAAGCGGGGGACCGAGCAGCAAUGUUUGGCCUCGCGCCUUUGGAGCGGCCGAUGUCGGAUUAGCUAAUUGGUGGGGUAAAGGCCUACCAAGGCGACGAUCCGUAGCUGGUCUGAGAGGACGACCAGCCACACUGGGACUGAGACACGGCCCAGACUCCUACGGGAGGCAGCAGUGGGGAAUUUUGGACAAUGGGCGCAAGCCUGAUCCAGCAAUGCCGCGUGCGGGAAGAAGGCCUUCGGGUUGUAAACCGCUUUUGGCAGGAACGAAACGGUGUCCGCUAAUACCGGGCGCUAAUGACGGUACCUGCAGAAUAAGCACCGGCUAACUACGUG